rnacentral:antisense_RNA from 1 species
CCGCUUUGGUGGGAAGGACCUCCCUUCCCCCUUAUAGAAACACUUUCUCCAGGCCGGGCCGGGCUUGGUAAACCUCAGCCGUGCCUGGGUAGAGGACGCCGGGCUGGGCCGAGCGGGGGUGGAAUGAGGGCGUCUAGAACAGAGAAAACUAAGUAGGAUGGGGUCGUCCCCCCAGUAAUCUGGAAAACAGUUACAGGAACAGGCUCCUCUCAUCAGACGGCAGUGCUGGUCGUUUCCUCACUGGUUUGGGGGUAAGGCUGGGCAGAAAAAGGAUGCAACCUUGUUCUCAACCACUUGCUAUCUCGAUAGGGUCUUGCUGUGUCACCCAGAUUGGAGUGCAGUGGUGUGAUCACAGCUCACUGCAGCCUUUACCUCUAGGCUCAAGUGAGCCCCCACCAAGCAGCUGGGACUACAAGUGCGCACCACCAUACCCAGCUAAUUUUUUCAUUUUUUGUAGAGACAGGGUCUCACUGUAUUGCUCAGGCUGGUCUUGAACUCCUGAGAUCAAGCGAUCCUCCCACUGUGGCCUCCCAAAGUGCUGGGAUUAUAGAUGUGAGCUACCAUGCCUGGCCUCAAAACAUUUUUGUAAUCUGGCUGUUUUCCAGUUGGAUGGACUCUGAGUGCAAUCUCAAUGUCUUUCCUGAUCAGUAAGAGGAAGAAAGGAGCUGUUGUAUAAUCUUUGGUCCACUUGCUAUAUAGGAAUAGAUCUUUACUGCUACAUAUACAUAAUUCUGUACGGAACAGUCAUGUUCCUUGGAUUCUGACAGCAUCGCCAAUAUGUGCUUUGAAACCUCCUACCUGGCACAGAUAUGA